rnacentral:rRNA from 1 species
AUUAGAUACCCUGGUAGUCCACGCCCUAAACGAUGUUAACUAGUUGUUGGGAAGUAAUAUUCUCAGUAACGCAGCCAACGCGAGAAGUUAACCGCCUGGGAAGUACGGUCGCAAGACUAAAACUCAAAGGAAUUGACGGGGACCCGCACAAGCGGUGGAUGAUGUGGAUUAAUUCGAUGCAACGCGAAAAACCUUACCUACCCUUGACAUGUCAGGAAGCUCUUGUAAUGAGAGCGUGCCCGCAAGGGAGCCUGAACACAGGUGCUGCAUGGCUGUCGUCAGCUCGUGUCGUGAGAUGUUGGGUUAAGUCCCGCAACGAGCGCAACCCUUAUCCUUAGUAGCCAGCAUGAAAGAUGGGAACUCUGGGGAGACUGCCGGAGACAAUCCGGAGGAAGGUGGGGAUGACGUCAAAUCAUCAUGCCCCUUAUGGCUUGGGCUACACACGUGCUACAAUGGUGGUAACAAAGUGACGCGACCCCGUGAGGGCAAGCCAACCACAAAAAAGCCAUCUCAGUUCGGAUUGUAGUCUGCAACCCGACUACAUGAAGCUGGAAUCGCUAGUAAUCGCGAAUCAGAAUGUCGCGGUGAAUACGUUCCCGGGUCUUGUACACACCGCCCGUCACACCAUGGGAGUUGGAAAUGCCCGAAGCCGGUGACCGAACCUUAGGGACGGAGCCGUCGAAGGUGGAGCCAAUGACUGGGGUGAAGUCGUAACAAGGUCCCAAGGGCGAAUUCGCGGC